rnacentral:misc_RNA from 1 species
CUGAGAUAUUUCCGUUCGUAGAUCUCAAGACCCACGCCGCUACUGUCCUAUUAGGGAAUGGAUUUGAGAUCCAAAUCCUUAACAAUCCUUAACAAUCAGUAUGAGCCAGCCAUAGGAAACCGGCCUUUCUACUGCUUCUACAGCAGUCUCUUCUCUACUUCGGCUACCAUGGAAGAACACUCGGGUACUAGCUCCAAAAGAUUACGGCUUUCUUUUAUUGAGGAUUCUUUCGCUGUCAAACCAAACUGGUCUGACCUUCAACCUGAACUACUGGAAUUGAUAAUUUCAAAGCUAUCUUUCGUAAAUAUCAUUCGCUUGAAGGCUGUUUGUUCUUCUUGGCGUUCCUUUGCAGAAUCCUAUGUCUCUUUUUUGCCUCGAACACCAUGGCUCCUGCUCCCCGGCAACCAAGAACAUCAUGCUCGUUGCUUCUUUAGUCUUGAGGACAAUAAGGUAUAUCAGAUCAAGAAUAUUAGUAAUCUCUUCGGUGAUGAUGCUUGGUGCGUUGGGUCGUCUCAUGGUUGGCUAGUGCUUUUGGAUGAUGAAGCAAAACCCUUCCUCCUCAACCCCUUUUCGCAAGUUCGAAUUCAAUUGCCUACAAUUGAGAGGUUCGUGUUUCUAGUUCAUAAAUCCUACUUUAUCAAGGUGUUGAGAAAGGGUUUUAUCACCAGAGCUAUCUUGUCGUCAGAUCCAUCUCAUGACAACAACUAUGUAGUUGUACUAAUUUUAGGUUAUGUUUCAAGGCUUGCUUUCUAUAAGAAAGGUGUUUCAGGUUGGACUAUUUCUAAUGGUGCAUCUCGGAAAUACUGCGAUAUCAUAUACUGUAAUGAUCUUUUUUAUGCAUUAACUUUGGAUAAUUCCAUUGAAGUCUGGGAUUUUCAUGCUUCUUUGCCAAUAAAGAAUAGGGAAAUCCACCCUUCAGUCCCAAGAAAAAUAAUGGAAGCUACAGAGUGUUUGAGAAGUCCACAUUGUUGCCAAAGUCACUUGGUGGAAUCAUCUGGCGAUCUUUUGCUGGUGUUAAGGUAUUUGGGGAAAGAAGGCAAACUUUGGGUUUGCCCAUAUCGUACACAGAACUUUCAUGUUUACAGGCUGGAUUCCAAUGAUCCGAAUUGGGUGGAAGUAGACAAUUUGAAGAAUGAGGUACUGUUUCUGGCCGGUAACCACUCAAUGUCACUCUCAGCUCAGGAUUUUUCAGGAUUUGAAAAGAAUUCUAUUUACUUCACAGGCGACAUUUGGAACCAGAUGAACAAGGAUUACUCAUAUGCAGGGUAUGAUCUUGGCAAGUUUAGCCUGGAAGAGAAGAUUACGAAACCAUUUUAUGCCUUUGGUUUAGGGAGGACUGGUUCUCCAUCUUUUUGGAUAGUUCCAAAUCCAUAGUGAGAGACAUAUAUGAUUUAUCGUAGUAUGUGUUGUCCAUGUUUUGAUUAAUUGUUCGUAAUGUUCAAACAUUUUUCUUCCAAAAUGAAGUUUAUUGUUUAUCAUAAUUAAAAUGGGCAUUUUCUUUCAAAA